UACGGGGGGAGCAAGCGUUGUUCGGAUUUACUGGGCGUAAAGGGCGCGUAGGCGGCCAGCACAAGUCAGUUGUGAAAUCUCCGAGCUUAACUCGGAAAGGUCAACUGAUACUGUGCGGCUAGAGUGCGGAAGGGGCAACUGGAAUUCUUGGUGUAGCGGUGAAAUGCGUAGAUAUCGAGAGGAACACCUGAGGUGAAGACGGGUUGCUGGGCUGACACUGACGCUGAGGCGCGAAAGCCAGGGGAGCAAACGGG
rnacentral:rRNA from 1 species